ACCAAUGACACAUCAAUACCAAAUGUCAGUCUGGUCCACAACUCAACCACUUCAAAUGAUGAAGGUUGAAAAUGAUAUGUUUUAUAUAUCAACUGUACACAUUAAGGGGGCACCAACCUAUGAGCAUGAAUAAGAAAAUCGGAAUUAGACCGUAUGAUACAAAUCAGUUACUGAUUCAAUAUCAAGAUCUAAAUAAGACUGGAGGAAUCAGAGUCAAUACACUAAUAUAGACAAGAAUCACAGUAUCACCCACACUGAGUCCAGACCAUUGGCAAAGUGGUGUCGAGGAAUAAUGACCUUGCACGAGAUGCAUUAAAUCUUGGAAACCUUGUACUCACUGGAGUUUAGGAUGAGGGGGCAUCUUAUAGAAACAUAUACAAUUAUAAAAGGACUAGGUGCAGGAAAAAUGUUUAAUGUAGGGCGAGUCCAGAACCAGGGGCCACAGUCUUAGAAUAAAGAGGAGGCCAUUUAAGACACAGGUGAGAAAAAACAUUUUCACCCAGAGAGUUGUGAAUUUGUGGAAUUCCCUGCCACAGAGGGCAGUGGAGGCCAAAUCACUGGAUGGAUUUAAGAGAGUUAGAUAGAGCUCUAGGGGCUAGUGGAAUCAAGGGAAAUGAGAAGGCAAGCACGGGUUAUUGAUUGGGGACGAUCAGCCAUGAUCACAAUGAAUGGCGGUGCUGGCUCGAAGGGCGGAAUGGCCUCCUCCUGCACCUAUUUUCUGUCCACGUCUACGUCUAAAAUACUCUCUUCGGAGUGUGAUAAUAGAGAAUUUGAUGUUCAUACCGCUGGGUUGUAAGCAACCCAAGCAAAAUAUUAGGCGCUUUUCUUUUAAUUUGCAGGUGUGGCCUCACUCUGGCAAUAGAGGCCUAGGAUCCAAAGAUCAGGAUGGGAAGGGGAAAUAAAAUGGUUAGCAACCGGGAGAUCCAGUUAUCCUUGGUGGUUCAAGCGCAAGUGUUCGUGCCGGAAACGAUCACCAAGUCUAUGCUUGGUCUCGCCAAUGUACAGGAAGUCACAUCAGGAACGCCAGAUGCCAUAGAUGAGGAAUGGGAUGGGGAGUUGAAAUGGAUAUGGCAAUUGUUGGCAAUGCCCACCCUUAACUGCCAUUGAGAACUUGGUGGUGAGCCGCUUUCAUGAAUGCCUACAGUACCUCUGCUGAUGGUACCACCAGUGCUAUUGGCAGUGGAUCUCUCUGGUGCAGUUGGAGUCAAAGAUCCUAUAGCAAGAUAGACCACUCGACAAAAAAGACGUAGUACGGUCAUGGGAAGAUUCAUGGGUAAUUUUCGGCCCCAUUUCAGUAACCAGCUUCCGUCUUUGCUUCAGUCUCUGCACUCGUAUCUUUGCUUUGGCCAUGGCGUCCACGUCUACUGGUGUUGCAUACUGCUCUGCUGUAAAUUGCUCCAAUCGCCAAUGUAGGCAACCCGACUUGUCUUUCUUCAGGUUCUCCACUAAGGAGGAAAGAUGUCAACAGUAGGUUCAGAAUACUUGUCGACAUGAUCUCCUACACAGAACUGCAGAGUACUUGUCAAAUAACUGCAGUCUUUGUUCUGAGCACUUCGAACUUGACCAGUUUUCCAACAAGCAGACCAAGAACAGGCUAAAUUGGAAUGCAGUCUUUGACAUCCCUAACCCGCCGAAACAACUGUCUAUUAUUCAGCGUUCUAUCAGAUAUUCAGCAUUAAAAAGAGUAAAUCACAAUAAAAGCGAAAAGAUGCCUCUGUUCCUUCCACAGUGUGCGGGGAGUCUGGCCCAGAUCAGCACGGCUGAGACAC